rnacentral:lncRNA from 1 species
UUUUGUUAGCUCCUAGUGCAGCGUGGUUAUUAAGGAAGGUGGAAUUCGAGCCUGCUGGGGUGCGAAUCAGAGCGUCGUGGGAGAUGACUCCCAGCCCGCGAUGGGAAGGGGAUGCUGCCGCCGUGCCUUUUCGUUACAGCACCAGAAUUGUUGGAAGAAGUGACUACUUUGGACUCCCCUUGUUUGAAGAUGCUGCAAAAGAGCAGGUAGUCAAAUGGGGAGGAGAUUUCCCCCUCCCCACCCGAAUUGUGCU